rnacentral:rRNA from 1 species
CCUACGGGAGGCAGCAGUGAGGAAUAUUGGUCAAUGCGCGUAAGCCUGAACCAGCCAAGUAGCGUGCGGGAUGAAGACCCUACGGGUCGUAAACCUCUUUUGCACGGGGAUAACACCCUCCACUUGUGGAGGUCUGCAUGUACCGUGCGAAUAAGGGCCGGCUAAUUCCGUGCCAGCAGCCGCGGUAAUACGGAAGGUCCGAGCGUUAUCCGGAUUCAUUGGGCUUAAAGGGAGCGUAGGCGGGCGUUCAAGUCAGCUGUAAAAUCGCGCGGCUCAACCGCGCCCCGCGGUUGAAACUGGAAGCCUUGAGUGCACAACAGGCAGGCGGAAUUCGUGGUGUAGCGGUGAAAUGCAUAGAUAUCACGAGGAACCCCGAUUGCGAAGGCAGCCUGCCGGGGUGCGACUGACGCUGAGGCUCGAAGGUGCGGGUAUCAAACAGGAUUAGAUACCCGGGUAGUC